AUCGCUUCUCGGUCUUUUGGCUAAGAUCAAAGUGUAGUAUCUAUCUUUAUCGGCUUAAUAUCUGAUUCGGUUCCUAUUUGGAGCCAUCGAUAUUAAACUGAUUUUUAGAAAGAGGCGAAGAGUUAGGGGCUUGCUCCACGUUUGCCACAGGUUGGCCUGGCAUUGCAGGACUUACAAGAUUCAGCCCACUUUAA
rfam:Octopus bimaculoides Scaffold78648_contig_9, whole genome shotgun sequence.